rnacentral:rRNA from 1 species
AACGGAUUCACUUCGGUGAUGACGUUGGGAACGCGAGCGGCGGAUGGGUGAGUAACACGUGGGGGAACCUGCCCCAUAGUCUGGGAUACCACUUGGAAACAGGUGCUAAUACCGGAUAAGAAAGCAGAUCGCAUGAUCAGCUUAUAAAAGGCGGCGUAAGCUGUCGCUAUGGGAUGGCCCCGCGGUGCAUUAGCUAGUUGGUAGGGUAACGGCCUACCAAGGCAAUGAUGCAUAGCCGAGUUGAGAGACUGAUCGGCCACAUUGGGACUGAGACACGGCCCAAACUCCUACGGGAGGCAGCAGUAGGGAAUCUUCCACAAUGGACGAAAGUCUGAUGGAGCAACGCCGCGUGAGUGAAGAAGGUUUUCGGAUCGUAAAGCUCUGUUGUUGGUGAAGAAGGAUAGAGGUAGUAACUGGCCUUUAUUUGACGGUAAUCAACCAGAAAGUCACGGCUAACUACGUGCCAGCAGCCGCGGUAAUACGUAGGUGGCAAGCGUUGUCCGGAUUUAUUGGGCGUAAAGCGAGCGCAGGCGGAAGAAUAAGUCUGAUGUGAAAGCCCUCGGCUUAACCGAGGAACUGCAUCGGAAACUGUUUUUCUUGAGUGCAGAAGAGGAGAGUGGAACUCCAUGUGUAGCGGUGGAAUGCGUAGAUAUAUGGAAGAACACCAGUGGCGAAGGCGGCUCUCUGGUCUGCAACUGACGCUGAGGCUCGAAAGCAUGGGUAGCGAACAGGAUUAGAUACCCUGGUAGUCCAUGCCGUAAACGAUGAGUGCUAAGUGUUGGGAGGUUUC